AAGCGAGAAUGUUGACAUGAGUAGCGACAAAGCGGGUGAGAGACCCGCUCGCCGAAAGUCCAAGGGUUCCUGCGCAAUGCUAAUCAGCGCAGGGUUAGCCGGCCCCUAAGUCGAGGCAGAAAUGCGUAGACGAUGGGAACCACGUUAAUAUUCGUGGGCCAAGGGAUGAGUGACGGAUUUCGAAAGUUGUAUUCCCUUAUUGGAUUGGGAAUGCAGCCUGGAAGUUCCUGGAAAUAGCCUCCCUAUUAGACCGUACCCGAAACCGACACAGGUGGUCAGGUAGAGCAUACCAAGGCGCUUGAGAGAACUAUGUUGAAGGAACUCGGCAAUUUACCUCCGUAACUUCGGGAUAAGGAGGCCAUCCGCUUGGGCAACCAGGUGGGUGGGGCACAGACCAGGGGGUGGCGACUGUUUAGCAAAAACACAGGGCUCUGCUAAGUCGGCUUCAAGACGACGUAUAGGGUCUGACGCCUGCCCGGUGCCGGAAGGUUAAAAGGAGAGGUUA
rnacentral:rRNA from 14 species